rnacentral:rRNA from 1 species
UAGGGAAUCUUCGGCAAUGGACGAAAGUCUGACCGAGCAACGCCGCGUGAGUGAAGAAGGUUUUCGGAUCGUAAAACUCUGUUGUUAGAGAAGAACAAGGACGUUAGUAACUGAACGUCCCCUGACGGUAUCUAACCAGAAAGCCACGGCUAACUACGUGCCAGCAGCCGCGGUAAUACGUAGGUGGCAAGCGUUGUCCGGAUUUAUUGGGCGUAAAGCGAGCGCAGGCGGUUUCUUAAGUCUGAUGUGAAAGCCCCCGGCUCAACCGGGGAGGGUCAUUGGAAACUGGGAGACUGGAGUGCAGAAGAGGAGAGUGGAAUUCCAUGUGUAGCGGUGAAAUGCGUAGAUAUAUGGGGGAACACCAGUGGCGAAGGCGGCUCUCUGGUCUGUAACUGACGCUGAGGCUCGAAAGCGUGGGGAGCAAACAGG